GACGGUUUGGCUGAGUGGUCUAAGGUGCUAAAUUUAGUUCUUGUCGAAAGGGUGAGGGUUCAAAUCCCACAAUUGUCU